rnacentral:rRNA from 1 species
GUUCGGAUUGCAGGCUGCAACCCGCCUGCAUGAAGCCGGAAUCGCUAGUAAUCNCGGAUCAGAAUGCCGCGGUGAAUACGUUCCCGGGUCUUGUACACACCGCCCGUCACACCAUGGGAGUCGGGAAUGCCCGAAGUCAGUGGCCCAACCGGAAGGGGGGAGCUGCCGAAGGCAGGCCCGGUGACUGGGGUGAAGUCGUAACAAGGUAGC